rnacentral:tRNA from 1 species
AGAAACUUAGGAUAACCUAACCCCCAAACCGGAGGCCUUCAAAGCCUCAAAUAAGAGUUAAACUCUCUUAGUUUCUG